rnacentral:rRNA from 1 species
UACGAAGGGGACUAGCGUUGUUCGGAUUUACUGGGCGUAAAGCGCGCGUAGGCGGAUCGCUAAGUCAGGGGUGAAAUCCGGCAGCUUAACUGUCGCAGUGCCUUUGAUACUGUGGAGCUCGAGGGAGGUAGGGGUCUGUGGAACUUCCGGUGGAGCGGUGAAAUGCGUAGAUAUCGGGAGGAACACCAGUGGCGAAGGCGACUACCUGGCCUGUUCUUGACGCUGAGGCGCGAAAGCUAGGGGAGCAAACAGG